rnacentral:rRNA from 1 species
GUUGUAUGGUUAAGUGACUAAGCGUACACGGUGGAUGCCUUGGCAGUCAGAGGCGAUGAAAGACGUAGUAACUUGCGAUAAGCCCAGAUUAGGUAGUAACAACCAUUUGAGUCUGGGAUUUCUGAAUGGGGAAACCCACGUGCAUAAGCACGUAUCCUUACCUGAAUACAUAGGGUAAGGAGGCGAACCGGGGGAACUGAAACAUCUAAGUACCCCGAGGAAAAGAAAUCAACCGAGAUUCCGAAAGUAGCGGCGAGCGAAAUUGGACUAGCCCUUAAGCUUUACACGCGUUAGACGAACGGUCUGGAAAGUCCGACGAUACAGGGUGAUAGUCCCGUAGUUGACGACGUGUGUUCAGUGAAAUCGAGUAGGGCGGGACACGUGAUAUCCUGUCUGAAUAUGGGGGGACCAUCCUCCAAGGCUAAAUACUACUGACUGACCGAUAGUGAACCAGUACCGUGAGGGAAAGGCGAAAAGAACCCCUGUGAGGGGAGUGAAAUAGAACCUGAAACCGUGUACGUACAAGCAGUAGGAGCAGGCUUUGUCCUGUGACUGCGUACCUUUUGUAUAAUGGGUCAGCGACUUAUAUUCAGUGGCAAGGUUAACCAUCUAGGGGAGCCGUAGGGAAACCGAGUCUUAACUGGGCGUUCAGUCUCUGGAUAUAGACCCGAAACCAGGUGAUCUAGCCAUGGGCAGGUUGAAGGUUGAGUAACAUCAACUGGAGGACCGAACCGACUAAUGUUGAAAAAUUAGCGGAUGACUUGUGGCUAGGGGUGAAAGGCCAAUCAAACCUGGAGAUAGCUGGUUCUCCCCGAAAGCUAUUUAGGUAGCGCCUCGGACGAAUACUACUGGGGGUAGAGCACUGUUAAGGCUAGGGGGUCAUCCCGACUUACCAACCCUUUGCAAACUCCGAAUACCAGUAAGUACUAUCCGGGAGACACACGGCGGGUGCUAACGUCCGUCGUGGAGAGGGAAACAACCCAGACCGCCAGCUAAGGUCCCAAAUUACUACUAAGUGGGAAACGAUGUGGGAAGGCUCAGACAGCCAGGAUGUUGGCUUAGAAGCAGCCAUCAUUUAAAGAAAGCGUAAUAGCUCACUGGUCGAGUCGGCCUGCGCGGAAGAUGUAACGGGGCUAAGUAGUAAACCGAAGCUGCGGCAAUAUACUUUUGUAUAUUGGGUAGGGGAGCGUUCUGUAAGCCGUUGAAGGUGUGUUGUAAAGCAUGCUGGAGGUAUCAGAAGUGCGAAUGCUGACAUGAGUAACGAUAAAGGGGGUGAAAAACCUCCUCGCCGGAAGACCAAGGGUUCCUGUCCAACGUUAAUCGGGGCAGGGUAAGUCGACCCCUAAGGCGAGGCCGAAAGGCGUAGUCGAUGGGAAACGGGUUAAUAUUCCCGUACUUCUUACAAUUGCGAUGGGGGGACGGAGAAGGCUAGGUGGGCCUGGCGACGGUUGUCCAGGUUCAAGUGCGUAGGCUUAAGAGUUAGGUAAAUCCGGCUCUUUCUAAGGCUGAGACACGACGUCGAGCACCUACGGGUGUGAAGUCAUUGAUGCCAUGCUUCCAGGAAAAGCCUCUAAGCUUCAGAUUGUAAGGAAUCGUACCCCAAACCGACACAGGUGGUCGGGUAGAGAAUACCAAGGCGCUUGAGAGAACUCGGGUGAAGGAACUAGGCAAAAUGGUACCGUAACUUCGGGAGAAGGUACGCUCUUGAUGGUGAAGUCCCUUGCGGAUGGAGCUGACGAGAGUCGCAGAUACCAGGUGGCUGCAACUGUUUAUUAAAAACACAGCACUGUGCAAAAUCGUAAGAUGACGUAUACGGUGUGACGCCUGCCCGGUGCCGGAAGGUUAAUUGAUGGGGUUAGACUUCGGUCGAAGCUCUUGAUCGAAGCCCCGGUAAACGGCGGCCGUAACUAUAACGGUCCUAAGGUAGCGAAAUUCCUUGUCGGGUAAGUUCCGACCUGCACGAAUGGCGUAAUGAUGGCCACGCUGUCUCCACCCGAGACUCAGUGAAAUUGAAAUCGCUGUGAAGAUGCAGUGUACCCGCGGCUAGACGGAAAGACCCCGUGAACCUUUACUACAGCUUGGCACUGAACAUUGACCCUACAUGUGUAGGAUAGGUGGGAGGCUUUGAAGCACGUACGCCAGUAUGUGUGGAGCCGUCCUUGAAAUACCACCCUUGUAGUGUUGAUGUUCUAACGUCGACCCCUUAUCGGGGGUUGCGGACAGUGCCUGGUGGGUAGUUUGACUGGGGGCGGUCUCCUCCCAAAGAGUAACGGAGGAGCACGAAGGUGGGCUAAUCACGGUUGGACAUCGUGAGGUUAGUGCAAUGGCAUAAGCCCGCUUGACUGCGAGAAUGACAAUUCGAGCAGGUGCGAAAGCAGGUCAUAGUGAUCCGGUGGUUCUGAAUGGAAGGGCCAUCGCUCAACGGAUAAAAGGUACUCCGGGGAUAACAGGCUGAUACCGCCCAAGAGUUCAUAUCGACGGCGGUGUUUGGCACCUCGAUGUCGGCUCAUCACAUCCUGGGGCUGAAGUCGGUCCCAAGGGUAUGGCUGUUCGCCAUUUAAAGUGGUACGCGAGCUGGGUUUAGAACGUCGUGAGACAGUUCGGUCCCUAUCUGCCGUGGGCGUUGGAAGAUUGAAGGGGGCUGCUCCUAGUACGAGAGGACCGGAGUGGACGAACCUCUGGUGUUCGGGUUGUGUCGCCAGACGCAUUGCCCGGUAGCUAAGUUCGGAAUCGAUAACCGCUGAAAGCAUCUAAGCGGGAAGCGAGCCCUGAGAUGAGUCUUCCCUGAUACUUUAAGUAUCCUAAAGGGUUGUCGGAGACUACGACGUUGAUAGGUCAGGUGUGUAAGUGCUGUGAGGCAUUGAGCUAACUGAUACUAAUUGCCCGUGAGGCUUAACCAUACAACACCCAAGGGGUUU